rnacentral:misc_RNA from 1 species
AGUUACUAUACAGGUGCAAGCAAUUCAUUGAUGUUUUGUUCUCUUAAUAACAGUCUUCUUAUGAUGAAUCAUAGCUCAGGUUGUAGUUUUGGGUUUGGAAUGUCUUGUACCUGUAAUACUUAAACGGCUCAGCUCAACUGAAUUCAUCCUUGGUCCUACUAUAUUUCUUGAUCCAAUAUAUUACAGUUAGCAUUAUGGAUUCUCUUCCUUCAUCCUGCUUGGUUUAGGGCUACACUUUCAGAUCACUUCCGUGUUCUUCUUGUCUUCCUUGGUCUACGUGUCUUCUUUUCCUGUACUUUAUCUUAGAUAUGCUAUGCAUUAACCAGUUUACAUUUGACAAGGCAAAA